GUGAUCGUGUAUACUGUCAUUAGGCUACAUGACGUUCACCGAGGUUUGACUGUCAUCUGAGAGAAAGAGAAGACGGAUAAAAAGCAUAAAUUCUGUACAUCCAGCUUGGCAAGGUUAAUGUUGGGACGUUAUCUUGAAGUCAUCCUGCCAUACAAUGUAAAGCUGCACAUGCACUGCGAUCGUUUGAAAGAGGACUGUGAGUGACAGAUGGACAGAUGGAUAUAUAGUUGGAGAAGAUGUAAUCACAUGUGAUUGGGAUCGGCGAUUCCGACUUGAGUGAUCUGCUUAUUCCAUUUCUCAUCUCCUCUACAGGCAUAAGGAGAAAAAAUUAAAUUUACUUUCAGAGAAACAUAAUAAGCAGCACUUAAGAUGGAUAACAUAUUCAUUUAUUAUC